AGUCACUGACGUAGUUUGAUCCUGGCUCAGAGCGAACGCUAGCGGCGGGCUUAACACAUGCAAGUCGAGCGCUUCACUUCGGUGAAGAGCGGCGGACGGGUGAGUAACACGUAGGUUACCUGCCCCUGGGUGAGGGACAACCGAGGGAAACCUCGGCUAAUACCACAUAUGGUCUACGGAUCAAAGGCUUCGGCCGCCCGGGGAUGGGCCUGCGUCCCAUUAUUUAAUCCUAGUUGGCGGGGUAACGGCCCACCAAGGGUACGAUGGGUAGCUGGUCUGAGAGGAUGAUCAGCCACACUGGAACUGAGACACGGUCCAGACUCCUACGGGAGGCAGCAGUGGGGAAUAUUGCGCAAUGGGCGAAAGCCUGACGCAGCCACGCCGCGUGAGUGAUGAAGGCCCCAGGGUCGUAAAGCUCUGUCGGGGGGGAAGAAGUUCUGACGGUACCCCCCAGAAAGCACCGGCUAACUCCGUG
rnacentral:rRNA from 1 species